GGUUUUGGUAGGAGCAGGGGCUCGUUAUAUUUUUUGCUCAACUCUCUUGUGUUCCGAGGAACAAGAUUCAAUCAGAGUUUUGGUGGUGGGAUAGGGUUCAUGAGGUAUACCCUUUUUCCCCCUUCUUUAUUGCUUGUUUCUUGCUUUUAUAAAAUGCAGUAGAGUUUGUGAUUGCAGUUUCAGAAUGUAGUGGAACCACAGUUCGCAACGGAUCCUAAUCCUAAUCUUACUAGCUGUGCAAUUCCACUAUGUAACUGUAAACGUGAGAAACCUCAUGUUAUGUGGUUAUCUUACAAGUUUAUGUAUGUACUUUUGAAACAGUGAGCUUUUGAUAUAUUCUCUUGUUAAUUGAUGCAAGGUGUGUGAAACAUUUUUUGUUUUACAAUUUCUCCAACACUUAAUUCUUCGCUCUCGCCCUCUGUUUUCUUUCUUUCUUUAUGUUCAUAUUGUUAGGUUCCUGUUGUGAAUGCUGAAGUUUCAAUACUCACAACAAAUAUGUUUCGGUACAACUUUCUGUGAUGUAUUUACAAUGGAUAAGGAGAAAUGUGAUGUAUUUAUAUUAGACUAGGACAUAUGAUACAUAAAGGACAUUGAGUUGCAUAGGUACAUCGUCUGAGGCAAUUACAACAGCUUCUACAUAUGUUCCCUUCAUGGUAAGCAUAUUAAAAAUGUUCCUUUCUGUUUUGAUUUGCAACUAUCUUUUGUUGGGUUUUCUCCCUCCUCUUGUAGAGUAUGAUUUAUGAAUAUUCUUUUUUCUUCAUCUUUUUUUUUUAGAAAAUGCCUCCCAUGGAAAGAUGAACAUAAGUUCACUGUAAGGCUGGUAGGGGGCGCAGU
rnacentral:misc_RNA from 1 species